GUUCUCAGCUGCUUUCUGUCUUUCUUCUCCUGGGAAAAUUAUAAUGCAAAUAGCAGGGUGCUUGAUGUUGCCCCAGAUCUCUCUUAAGCUAUCCUCUUUUCUUUAAAUUAUUUUAUUUAUUUAUUUAUAUUCAGCAUCAGAUUUCCCCUGCUCUGUCUUCCAGCUCACUAAUCUGUUUCUCUGCACCAUUUAAUCUACUAUUGAUUCUUUCUACCGUAUUUUUCAUUUCAUUUACUAUAUUCUUCAUCUCUGAUUAUUCUUUAUACUUUCUUUUUGUGAUCCCAUGGACUUUAGCCUGCCAGGCUCCUCUAUCCAUGGGAUUCUCCAGGCAAGAAUACUGAAAUGGUUUGCCAUUCCCUUCUCCAGGAGAUCUUCCUGACUCAGAAAUUGAACCUGGGUUUCCUGCAAGAGACCCAGGUUUCCUGCAUUGCAGGCAGAUUCUUUACCAUCUGAGCCACCAGGGAAGCCCUUAAAUUUUCUAAAUCUUUGUUGAAAACUUCUAACUUCUUGCUCUAGGCAGCUCAUUUUGCCCAGGUCACUAUUCUUACGUUUAUGUGUCUGGUAGGGUGGUGCCAUUUCCCAACUCUGGAGAAGUGACUUCUGCAGAAGUCCUGUGUGUCCCGGUAGUGUCCCCUCUCUGUCCCCUCUGUGUGUCCCCUCUUUUCACUGGAGCUUUAUGCUCUAUGGGGUUCCCCAUGAUGUCCACGUGGGUCCUGAUAUGCGGUUGAUCUGGUAGUCUAGGACAGCCCCUGUUCAGGUCGGUUGCCAGGCUCUGCCCUGUGAGGAGGCUGCCACCUGCUGGUUGGUGGGGCUGGGUCAGGCAACCACUGAGUCUAGAACCACCAGUCUCCCAUCCCGCUUGGGCUAGUUCUGGCAUAUUGGUGGGCAGAAUCAGGGUCCAGAAGACUCUGGGGGAUGUUACAGCCCACUAGUGGCUGAAGCCAGAUCCUGGGAUUAGUUUUACCAGGUCCUGGAGUCCUGGGGACUGGUUGCAGGGCUCAGGGAUUCUAGCGUUGGUGUCAGGUUGCUCGCUGGGGACAAGGAGAGGAGGGGAGAGCAGUUCCUAUCACAGUGGAGUACAGGUUCCAGGGAGUCCUGAGGCUUGUGUCGGCCUGCUAGUGGGCAGGACCAGGGUGCAGCUGGUUUUAGGACACCAUCUGGCCUGCUGGAGUCAGCACUGUGGCUUUCUUGAAUGUAGGGUCUGCGCCCUGGUCCAGAGACAAGGGCAGACUGCUUGGAGGGUAGGGUCGGAACAGGGGAUCUGGGACGUUGUCUGCCCUCUGGUGGCAGAGGCUGUGUCGAGAGGAGGCUGUGUGCAGAGGAGGUCUUAAGGCAGCCUGUCUGUUGAUAAGUGGAGUUACGUCCCCACCCAGUUAGUUGCUUGGCGUGAGAUGUCCCCCAGCACUGGCAUCUACAGGUUGUUGGGUGUGGCCAGGUCUUUGCGCUCAGGAAUCCUUAGCACCUGCAUCAGGUGGAAGGAAAUUCCAAGAAUGUCUGCCGCCAGAGUCCAGCUCCCGAGGAUGAGCCCCGGCUGCCCCCUGUUCCUCCAGGAAACUCUUUAAGCCCAGCAGGAACGGUGUAUUCCAGGAGCCAAAAAACUUCCCCAAAUGGCCAAAACCAGAAACAUUCAACUCAGCCGAGGAGAGGAAAAGACAAGUCAGAAUUACAAGGCCUAACUCCUGCAUCCCGGGAUCCCUGCCUGCAGAAUGAGGAGAGGGGGCUGGGGACCGCGCCUCCAUUUUGUCAAUAAUGCCUAAUGUGGUUCCCGACACUAUACAAUAGUUAUAGGUUUACCUAAAAACCUACAAACUCUUCCUUUCUUAAAUUCUCACUAAUUAUGUAAGAGUAAUUCAGCUUCUCAGCAUCUUUACUAACAUGUUUAUUUCAUUAUUUUUAAUUUUACUCAUUCAUAUAGUUCUAUAGUGAUACCAUACUAUGGCUUUACUUUGCAUUUUUCUGAUGACCCAAUGUUAAUAAAUUUUCAUGAGCUUAUAUAUCAUAUGUGUGUGUGUGUUUGUGUGUGUGUGUGUAUUUGGUGAAGAGGUUUUUUCUUUUCUUUUUUAUUUACUUAUUUAUUUUUGCUCAUUCUUUAACUGGAUUAUUUGUGCCAUGAAAUUUGAGUUUUAAGCAUUCUCUGUAUUUUCUACAUAGCAAUUUGUUGCUGGGUAUGUGAUUUGCAAAUAAAUUCUUUCUAUCUAUAGCUUUUCUUUCAAUACUUUUGACAGGGACCAUUGCAAAGAAAAGAAGUUUAAUUUAUAACAUUUUUUCUUUUAUGGAAUGUAUUUUUGGUGUUAAGUAUAACAACUCUGCCUAGUUCUAGAUUCCAAAGAUUUUUUAUAAGUUUUCUAAAAGUUUUAUCAUUUUAUGUUUAAAUCCAUUCUCUGCUUUGAGUUAAUGUUUAUGAAAGACAUGAGACAUAGUUGUUUUUCUCAUAUGAAUAUUCUAUUUCUCUGGCACAGUUUGUUAAAAGAUAGUCUGUUUUUUUUUUUUUUUUUGAGUUGAUUUUGCACCUAUGUAUUAGGUCAGUUGGAUGCAUUAGGAUGAGUCAAACUCAGGGUUUUCUAUUGUAUUCCACUGAUCUGUGUGUCUGUUUUUUGUUUUUUUUUUUCCCCCUCUGUCAAUACAAAACUAUCUUGAUUACUUGAACAUGACUUAAAAUUAGAUAGACUUGUACUUCCCAUUUUACUCUUCUUUUGAAAAUUGUUUUAUUCUUUUGCCUUUCUAUAUAAGUUUUAAAAUAUGUUGUUUAUGUCUACAAAAAUAUUGCUGGAGUUUUAAUAGGAAUUGUGUUAACCUAUAUAUCAUUUGGGAGAAAGUUGACAUAUUCACCACAUUGAAUCUUCAAAUCCAUUAAAGAUUUCUUCCAUUUAUGUAGGUUGAUUACUUUCAUCAGCAUUACAC
ensembl:lncRNA